GUUAUAACAAUGAGAAACGGUAAACAAUUUGGCAAAUAAAUGACUUAUAAUUGUGCUUACCUGGUCCAGAUGAUCCACAGUCCCUUUGCAUUUGUUAUAAUCCAGGAUGAUGUGGGGCUUUCUCUUCCCAGAGUCCUGGACUUGUAGCUCACGGUGCCUGGUGCUCAAUAAGACAACCUUUUUUCUUUGCUUGGGGAUGUAGGAAACCACAGCCUUGCCCCCCCCGUAGCGACCUGGACGGGAGAGACGAUCAUCGAAUCUUACUGCCCGAUUAAUUUGCUCAAAUCUUUUUUUUGACAUGGUAGCAUGAAACAGAAGAGCCCUGUCUACGGUGUACAUUUUAGGACAUCGUCAGGUGUCAGGAAAAAAGUUGUCAGGUAUCAGUCUCACAUGAAAAAAUGUCAGGUCUCAGCCUCACACAAAAAAAUGUCAGGUCUCAGACUCACACGAAAAAAUGUCAGGUCUCAGAAUCACAUGAAAAAAUGUCAGGUCUCAGCCUCACACGAAAAAAUGUCAGGUCUCAGUCUCACACAAAAAAAAUGUCAGGUCUCAGACUCACAUGAAAAAAUGUCAGGUCUCAGUCUCACACGAAAAAAUGUCAGGUCUCAGACUCACAUGAAAAAAUGUCAGGUAUCAGUCUAGGGUUGCCAACCGUCCCUUAAAAAACGGAAUCGUCCCAUAUUUAGAAACAAAAGCACACGUCCCGUAUUGAGCUAAUAAGGGACGCACUUUGUCCCGUAAUACAGUGAGAAUCAAAAGUAGUCUAUAAAUGUUAAUGGAAUUAACACUUUGUUUGAAAACAUAAUUCCCAGCCCCUCUCCUGCUUUGUGACCAAUGAGCUGACAGCACACUUAUGACAAUUCGAGUAUGACAAUUCAGAUUACCGCUCAUCUCAUUGGUCGAGGAAAGGUCGCUUACAGAGAAAAUACCGGAAGACAACAGAUGACCACAACAAGAAGCAUGGCCAACAGGGAAACAAACGCCGACACUGCGGUGCAAGUCUCGGACGACAGUACACCUAAAGCUGGGCAGACACUGUGCGAUUUUUUUCAGUCACGUUAUUCAGCUCCUGCUCAAACUGCACGAUUGACUCGCAGGGGUUAGAAGUUGGUAUGUCACGAUGUACUCUCACACUAUACGGCCCGAUGCUCUGAUGCGACCUGAGUGCUCACACUGUGCCUCCAUAACAUGAAGCUUAUAACAGAAAAUCUGUCGCUCGCUCGCUCUCUCUGUCUCUCACUCACACAGAC
ensembl:lncRNA